rnacentral:rRNA from 1 species
UUCCAGACUCCUACGGGAGGCAGCAGUGGGGGAUAUUGCACAAUGGGGGAAACCCUGAUGCAGCGACGCCGCGUGGGCGAAGAAGUAUUUCGGUAUGUAAAGCCCUCUCAGCAGGGAAGAAGAAAUGACGGUACCUGAGUAAGAAGCACCGGCUAAAUACGUGCCAGCAGCCGCGGUAAUACGUAUGGUGCAAGCGUUAUCCGGAUUUACUGGGUGUAAAGGGAGCGUAGACGGCAUAGCAAGUCUGAAGUGAAAGCCCGUGGCUCAACCGCGGAACUGCUUUGGAAACUGUUAAGCUGGAGUACUGGAGAGGCAAGCGGAAUUCCUAGUGUAGCGGUGAAAUGCGUAGAUAUUAGGAGGAACACCAGUGGCGAAGGCGGCUUGCUGGACAGAGACUGACGUUGAGGCUCGAAAGCGUGGGGAGCAAACAGGAUUAGAUACCCGCGUAC